rnacentral:tRNA from 1 species
CGGGGUAUGGCGCAGUCCGGCUAGCGCACCUGCUUUGGGAGCAGGGGGUCGCAGGUUCGAAUCCUGUUGCCCCGA